CGGAGCGACACCGCGUGCAGGAUGAAGGCCUUCGGGUUGUAAACUGCUGUCACGCUUUAGGAACGACCGAGUGUUAACAGCACUCGGACUGACCAAGGCGAAAGGAAGCACCGGCUAACUCUGUGCCAGCAGCCGCGGUAAGACAGAGGGUGCAAACGUUGUUCGGAAUUACUGGGCAUAAGGAGCACGUAGGUGGUUCGCUAAGUCACGUGUGAAAUCCCCCGGCUCAACCGGGGAAUUGCGCGUGAUACUGGCGGACUCGAGGCGGGUAGGGGUGAGCGGAACUCCAGGUGGAGCGGUGAAAUGCGUAGAUAUCUGGAGGAACACCGGUGGCGAAAGCGGCUCACUGGACCCGAUCUGACACUGAGGUGCGAAAGCUAGGGUAGCAAACGGGAUUAGAUACCCCGGUAGUCCUAGCCGUAAACGAUGGGCACUGGGCAGGGGGGAUACCUAUGUCCUCUCUGCCGGAGCUAAUGUGUUAAGUGCCCCGCCUGGGGAGUACGCUCGCAAGGGUA
rnacentral:rRNA from 1 species